rnacentral:pre_miRNA from 1 species
UGUUUAGUAUAAGUAUGUCCCACACAAUUUUUAGGACAUACUUAUACUAAAA